rnacentral:pre_miRNA from 1 species
CAAAUACUCCCUCCGUCCGGAAAUACUUGUCAUCAAAAUGGAUAAAAGGAAAUGUAUCUAGACGUAUUUUAGUUUUAGAUACAUCUCUUUUUAUCCAUUUUGAUGACAAGUAUUUUCGGACGGACGGAGUAGAAA